GACGAACGCUGGCGGCGUGCUUUAUACAUGCAAGUCGAACGAUGAAGUUCCUUCGGGAAUGGAUUAGUGGCGAACGGGUGAGGAACACGUGAGAAACCUGCCUUUCAUUCUGGGAUAACACCGGGAAACCGGUGCUAAUACCGGAUACUCCGUCUUGGCGGCAUCGCCGAGCCGGGAAAAAAUUUUGAGGAAAGAUGGUCUCGCGGCCUAUCAGCGAGUUGGUGAGGUAAUGGCUAACCAAGGCGACGACGGGUAGCCGGCCUGAGAGGGCGACCGGCCACACUGGGACUGAGACACGGCCCAGACUCCUACGGGAGGCAGCAGUAGGGAAUAUUGGGCAAUGGGCGCAAGCCUGACCCAGCGACGCCGCGUGAGGGAUGAAGGUCUUCGGAUUGUAAACCUCUUUCAGUAGGGAAGAAGCGAAAGUGACGGUACCUAAAGAAGAAGCACCGGCUAACUAUGUGCCAGCAGCCGCAGUAA
rnacentral:rRNA from 1 species